CUCCCAAACCCCUGUGAACAUACCAAUUGUUGCCUCGGCGGAUCAGCCCGCUCCCGGUAAAACGGGACGGCCCGCCAGAGGACCCCUAAACUCUGUUUCUAUAUGUAACUUCUGAGUAAAACCAUAAAUAAAUCAAAACUUUCAACAACGGAUCUCUUGGUUCUGGCAUCGAUGAAGAACGCAGCAAAAUGCGAUAAGUAAUGUGAAUUGCAGAAUUCAGUGAAUCAUCGAAUCUUUGAACGCACAUUGCGCCCGCCAGUAUUCUGGCGGGCAUGCCUGUUCGAGCGUCAUUUCAACCCUCAAGCCCCCGGGUUUGGUGUUGGGGAUCGGCGAGCCCUUGCGGCAAGCCGGCCCCGAAAUCUAGUGGCGGUCUCGCUGCAGCUUCCAUUGCGUAGUAGUAAAACCCUCGCAACUGGUACGCGGCGCGGCCAAGCCGUUAAACCCCCAACUUCUGAAUGUUGACCUCGGAUCAGGUAGGAAUACCCGCUGAACUUAAGCAUAUCAAUAAGCCGGAGGAAG
rnacentral:rRNA from 1 species